rnacentral:tRNA from 1 species
GGGCCGUUAGCUCAGCGGUAGAGCAGUGGACUUUUAAUCCAUUGGUCGAGAGUUCGAACCUCUCACGGCCCACCA